ACAAAAGCAAAACAAAUCAAUAGCCAAUUUCACAAAAAUCUAUUCAAUUAUACAAAAUACAACUCGAAACAUAGAAGUUCCCAAAAUUUCCUCACGAAAAUAGAAUCACAAACAGCCAUUAAAAUUAAACUAAAACAUAUCAAUGAUGAGCACUAACCUCCAAAUGCACAAUUGUCCAAUUAACUCGAUAAUCAGGCAUGAAAAUUAUGUUUCUUUUUCUCUAAUGCACUAACCUCAUGAAAAUAGCAUCCCCCUUGCCUUUAUUCGUCCUUCUCAAAAUUAAUAGCCUGUUCUUGAUUUUUCUUUGCUCAAUACCACCAAUCUAUAGCUUUAAUUCUUGUUAAUUUCUUCCUUAAAUCACUAUUUAGUAAUCUAUUUUCUGUACUUUGCUUUAGAAAAGUGAGAGCGAUGAAAAGAAGCUCUCUGUGUUUCUUUGUUAGGAGGAGCCGCACAAGACUAAAGAGAAGCUACGGCUUC
rnacentral:lncRNA from 1 species